rnacentral:snRNA from 1 species
CAAGCUUCUUGGCCUUUUGGCUAAGAUCAGGUGUAGUAUUCGUCCUCGUCGGUUUAAUAUCUGAUGCACCCUCUAUCCAUUCCUCUUUUCAUGCUUAUCUGCCUUAUUAUCCUAA